UGUAAGCGUAUACCAAAGUUGUUGCAGUUAAAACGCUCGUAGUCGGAAUUUGGCAGUUCCGGAUGUGUGCACGUCGUGUGCGCACUUCGCGGGGAUUGCUUUUGUGGUCUUGCGUAGGAUGAGGCACUUUUAUUAGUGAACGUCCUCACGCAACCACUUUUUACUGUGAGAAAAUCAGAGUGCUCAAAGCAGGCAUUUGCCGUGAAUGUAUUAGCAUGGAAUAAUAGAAUAGGACUUGGUUCUAUUUUGUUGGUUUGUUGGGACUGAGUAAUGAUUAAGAGGGACAGUUGGGGGCAUUUGUAUUUCGGUGCUAGAGGUGAAAUUCUUAGAUUACCGAAAGACAAACUGCUGGGAAAGCGUCUGCCAAGGAUGUUUUCAUUGA
rnacentral:rRNA from 1 species